rnacentral:rRNA from 1 species
AGCUUGUUGGUGAGGUAAUGGCUCACCAAGGCGACGAUCCGUAGCUGGUCUGAGAGGAUGAUCAGCCACACUGGAACUGACACACGGUCCAGACUCCUACGGGAGGCAGCAGUGAGGAAUUUUGCGCAAUGGGGGAAACCCUGACGCAGCAACGCCGCGUGAGUGAUGAAGGCUUUCGGGUCGUAAAGCUCUGUCAAGUGGGAAGAACCUGCAGUAUGCUAAUAUCAUAUUGCACUGACGGUACCACUGAAGGAAGCACCGGCUAACUCCGUGCCAGCAGCCGCGGUAAUACGGGGGGUGCAAGCGUUAUUCGGAAUCAUUGGGCGUAAAGAGCACGUAGGCGGCCUGGUAAGUCAGAUGUGAAAGCCCGGGGCUUAACCCCGGAAGUGCAUUUGAUACUGUCAGGCUUGAGUAUGGGAGAGGGAAGUGGAAUUCCUGGUGUAGAGGUGAAAUUCGUAGAUAUCAGGAGGAACACCGGUGGCGAAGGCGACUUCCUGGACCAAUACUGACGCUGAGGUGCGAAGGCGUGGGUAGCAAACAGGAUUAGAUACCCUGGUAGUCCACGCAGUAAACGUUGUUCACUAGGUGUAGCGGGUAUUGACCCCUGCUGUGCCGCAGUUAACGCAUUAAGUGAACCGCCUGGGGAGUACGGCCGCAAGGUUAAAACUCAAAGGAAUUGACGGGGGCCCGCACAAGCGGUGGAGCAUGUGGUUUAAUUCGACGCAACGCGAAGAACCUUACCUGGAUUUGACAUCCCGGGAAUCCUAUCGAAAGACUGGAGUGCCCUUCGGGGAGCCCGGAGACAGGUGCUGCAUGGCUGUCGUCAGCUCGUGUUUGAGAUGUUGGGUUAAGUCCCGCAACGAGCGCAACCCUUGUCUUUAGUUACCAUCAUUCAGUUGGGGACUCUAAAGAUACUGCCCCGGUCAACGGGGAGGAAGGUGGGGAUGACGUCAAGUCCUCAUGGCCUUUAUGUCCAGGGCUACACACGUGCUACAAUGGGCUGUACAAAGGGUCGCGAACCCGCGAGGGUAAGCCAAUCCCAAAAAGCAGUCCCAAGUUCGGAUUGGAGUCUGCAACUCGACUCCAUGAAGCUGGAAUCGCUAGUAAUCGCGGAUCAGCAUGCCGCGGUGAAUACGUUCCCGGGCCUUGUACACACCGCCCGUCACACCAUGAGAGUAGGUUGUACCAGAAGUCGUCGGGCUAACCUUUCGAGGAUGCAGGCGCCUAAGGUAUGGCUGAUAAUUAGGGUGAAGUCGAAACAAGGUAGCCGUUGGGGACCAGCGG